rnacentral:rRNA from 1 species
UACGUAGGUGGCAAGCGUUGUCCGGAUUUACUGGGCGUAAAGAGCGUGUAGGCGGCCAGGUAGGUCUGCUGUGAAAACUCGAGGCUCAACCUCGAGACGUCGGUUGAAACCGUCUGGCUAGAGUCCGGAAGAGGAGAGUGGAAUUCCCGGUGUAGCGGUGAAAUGCGCAGAUAUCGGGAAGAACACCCGUGGCGAAGGCGGCUCUCUGGGACGGUACUGACGCUGAGACGCGAAAGCGUGGGGAGCGAACAGG